GGAAAUAAUCCAGCAGGAAAGCAGGAAUCCUUGAAUAUUCAAUACUUUAGGAAAACAGCGAGACCCCAGAUCUUCUCAGUGUUGGGAGAAGCUGCAAUCCACCAGGAAAAUGAUGGAAGUCCAAACCGUCCAAAUCCAACACAGCAAAGAUGAUGAUGAUGAUGAUGAGAAAAGAUGGAGCCAAAUCCAAGUUGAAUUGGACUGCCGGAAACAAACCCUGAACAUCUCUGAGGCUCCAAUUUAUGCUCUGACAAGUGCUCACUCACCCAGCUCUCCUCCCUCUGAAGCUUCAACAAGCUGCACAAAACAGAGGAAAAUGUGCAGGACAGAAAAAA
ensembl:lncRNA